rnacentral:rRNA from 1 species
UAAGUUUGAUCAUGGCUCAGGACGAACGCUGGCGGCGUGCCUAAUACAUGCAAGUCGAGCGCGGGAAGCAAACAGAUCUCCUUCGGGAGUGACGUUUGUGGAACGAGCGGCGGAUGGGUGAGUAUCACGUGGGCAACCUGCCUGUAAGAUCGGGAUAACUCGCGGAAACGUGAGCUAAUACCGGAUGAAGUCUUACGCCACCUGGCGUAAGGAUGAAAGAUGGCCUUUGUGCUAUCACUUACAGAUGGGCCCGCGGCGCAUUAGCUAGUUGGUGGGGUAAUGGCCUACCAAGGCGACGAUGCGUAGCCGACCUGAGAGGGUGAUCGGCCACACUGGGACUGAGACACGGCCCAGACUCCUACGGGAGGCAGCAGUAGGGAAUCUUCCGCAAUGGACGAAAGUCUGACGGAGCAACGCCGCGUGAGUGAUGAAGGUCUUCGGAUCGUAAAACUCUGUUGUCAGGGAAGAACAAGUGACGUUCGAAUAGGGCGUGACCUUGACGGUACCUGACUAAGAAGCCCCGGCUAACUACGUGCCAGCAGCCGCGGUAAUACGUAGGGGGCAAGCGUUAUCCGGAUUUACUGGGCGUAAAGGGAGCGCAGGUGGUUUCUUAAGUCUGAUGUGAAAGCCCACGGCUUAACCGUGGAGGGUCAUUGGAAACUGGGGAACUUGAGUACAGAAGAGGAAUGUGGAACUCCAUGUGUAGCGGUGGAAUGCAUAGAUAUAUGGAAGAACACCAGUGGCGAAGGCGACAUUCUGGUCUGUUACUGACACUGAGGCUCGAAAGCG